UAUUUAAAAUUUCAUCUAUUUGUAUUAUUAAAAGCUAGUGUAACUAACAGAAUAAUCAAAUAGUGACAUGUGUCGUGCAAUGUGUUUUUAUACCAACAUAUAGGGAUUAGUUUGUAAUAGUAAAAAUGAAUGAAAUUUUUAAUA
rnacentral:pre_miRNA from 1 species